rnacentral:rRNA from 1 species
UACGUAGGUGGCGAGCGUUAUCCGGAUUUAUUGGGUUUAAAGGGUGCGUAGGCGGGCUGUUAAGUCAGCGGUAAAAGCCCGGGGCUCAACCCCGGCCCGCCGUUGAAACUGGCUGGCUUGAGUUGGGGAAAGGCAGGCGGAAUGCGCGGUGUAGCGGUGAAAUGCAUAGAUAUCGCGCAGAACCCCGAUUGCGAAGGCGGCCGCCUGGCCUGUUGCUGACGCUGAGGCACGAAAGCGUGGGGAGCAAAUAGG